CCUGCAGGCACACACCGGCGCCCCGCACCGGUACCGACCGGUAGGGAGCCGCUCCACCCCGUUAAAAGUCCCGAACCGGCUGUUUUCCCGCUGAUAGCUUAGAGGCUAACAGAUGCUAACCACGAGUCAGAGUGCGCGUGCAGGUGAGGCUUUAAACCGGAUGGGAACGGCUUCAGGUGACGCACACCGGCAGGAGGGCCGACACCGGGGCCCACCGGGGCUAACGGAGGCUAUCCGGGGCAAACCAGGGCAAACCGAGACUACAGUCUCCGCCGGCUCCCCGCUCAGAGCCGCUGUUAGCUCAGUUAGCAUGUUAGCUUCGUCGGAGCUAGCUGCGACUUCCAGCACGACACUAAACACUCGGGUCAACUUGCGCGAGCUGCUGCCGCCAGGUAUGUUUACCUGGACGGCGAGGAGCUAAAUGCUAACUGGAGCAGCUAGCUGGUUAGUUAGCUGUUAGCAUGCUUAUUUAUGACUGAAAACAGGACAGGACUACAGGACAGGUAACGACUAGAGGACUACAGGACAGGUAGUAACUAGAGGACUACAAGACAAGUAGUAACUAGAGGACUACAGGACAGGUAACGACUAGAGGACUACAAGACAAGUAGUGACUAGAGGACUACAGGACAGGUAACGACUAGAGGACUACAAGACAAUUAGUAACUAGAGGACUACAGGACAGGUAGUAACUAGAGGACUACAGGACAGGUAGUAACUAGAGGACUGCAGGACAGGUAGUAACGAGAGGACUACAGGACAGGUAACGACUAGAGGACUACAAGACAAUUAGUAACUAGAGGACUACAAGACAAUUAGUAACUAGAGGACUACAGGACAGGUAGUAACUAGAGGACUACAGGACAGGUAGUAACUAGAGGACUACAGGACAGGUAACGACUAGAGGACUACAGGACAGGUAACGACUAGAGGACUACAGGACAGGUAGUAACUAGAGGACUACAGGACAGGUAACGACUAGAGGACUACAAGACAAUUAGUAACUAGAGGACUACAGGACAAUUAGUAACUAGAGGACUACAGGACAGGUAACGAC